UGUUCAGAAAUGGCUCAACUAUACAACUUACUGUACAUAGUGAGAUACACACCACUGAUUCUCACUCUAGUUACAGGCAGUUUUGCAGAUAAAAUUGGACCAAAGGAUGAAGAUGCCAACAUUGUGGGGACAGAAACAGACACUGUUACUCUGAAAUGUUCAUAUGAGACAAGCAGUAAUGACAUUUAUCUUUACUGGUACAAACAAUAUCCUAACAGCGCACCAAAGUUUUUACUGUAUAAAGGAGCAAGAUCAAGAUCUGCCCAGAGCACUCCUGAUGAUCAUCGAUUAGAGUCAGAAACAAGCAGAGACUCUACUGAACUUACUAUCAGAGGUCUAAAGCUCUCAGAUUCUGCACGCUAUCAUUGUGCUCUUGAAGUAACACAGUGA